rnacentral:rRNA from 1 species
CGUAGGGGCUAGCGUUGUCCGGAAUCAUUGGGCGUAAAGCGCGUGUAGGCGGUUCGGUAAGUCCGCUGUGAAAGUCGGGGCUCAACCCUCGAAUGCCGGUGGAUACUGUCGGGCUAGAGUGCGGAAGAGGCGAGUGGAAUUCCUGGUGUAGCGGUGAAAUGCGCAGAUAUCAGGAGGAACACCAAUUGCGAAGGCAGCUCGCUGGGACGUUACUGACGCUGAGACGCGAAAGCGUGGGGGAGCAAACAGGAUU